GGGUGAUUAGCUCAGUUGGCUAGAGUGCUCCCUUGACGUGGGAGAGGUCACAGGUUCAAGUCCUGUAUCGCCCA
rnacentral:tRNA from 1 species